UACGGAGGGUGCAAGCGUUCUCCGGAUUUACUGGGUUUAAAGGGUGCGUAGGUGGGUUGGUAAGUCAGUGGUGAAAUACUUUCGCUUAACGAAGGAACUGCCAUUGAUACUACCAGUCUUGAAUACAGUGGAGGUAGGCGGAAUGCGUCAUGUAGCGGUGAAAUGCUUAGAUAUGACGCAGAACACCAAUUGCGAAGGCAGCUUGCUACACUGUUAUUGACACUGAGGCACGAAAGCGUGGGGAUCAAACAGG
rnacentral:rRNA from 1 species